UUUGGACAAUGGGCGCAAGCCUGAUCCAGCAAUGCCGCGUGCAGGAUGAAGGCCUUCGGGUUGUAAACUGCUUUUGUACGGAACGAAACGGCGAGCUCUAAUACAGGUUGCUAAUGACGGUACCGUAAGAAUAAGCACCGGCUAACUACGUGCCAGCAGCCGCGGUAAUACAA
rnacentral:rRNA from 1 species